AAUAUUAUAUAUGUUUGGGCUUCUUGCGGUCUAUUUGCAGUCUACAAAUGAUAUGUAAUUAUGUUCCAGCCCCCAGACCAUUGCUGAAGAAAGAAUCUGCCUGUGGCUGAAUCUAGUUGAUGAUACCUGAUCUAUAGUCUGCUGCCAACCCCCCUGACACAGUGGGUGUCUCUCUACAGCUGUCUUGGGUCUGUCCUCAGAACAUGCACCUCUAUAUCCUAGUGAGUGCCCUUCUCAGCAUCCCUGUCUCUUUGGGUGAGUUGGACUUUUUGCCGUUUUAGUAUUAUAGCAUUUGCAUCCAGUUGUAGAUGGUUGUUUAACCUAUGAUUACUUUACAGUAGUAAUAUGUUGGAAGAAUUUCAUUUGACUCCCAAUCUCUCUCUCUCUCCCCCUAGCUUUCUCUUUGGGUGGGUCCAAUGUCGUCGUCGUUGUUGUUGUCUCGCAAAAAGUCACACAUGGAUUUGAAAAAUUCUGUAUUUUCUUUUGAUAAUGUCUGGCAUUGUCCUCUCUCGUCCCAUAACUCACUCUAUUUGUCCCUCUCUUUUUCAGGUUGGAAUGAAGACUUACAGAUAGUGUGUUCUGGUCGAGAGUUCCGCCUGCCGGUCUACUCAGGCUCAAGAAUCGUGACCUUUACCCCCAGCUACACACCAGGACAACUAAAAGUGCUUCUGGAGAACAACAAUUUGAAGGACCCGCGGUUUGAGUGGACGAAAGAUAGGACGUUGCUGCUGAAUGACGUCACACACCGUGACCAGGGGCUCUACUCUAUCAAACUGUCCUCUGGAUUCACCUAUGAGACCGUUCGCCUCACUGUCUCAGAAUGUAUAAAAACCUUCCGUCUGGGCUAUGGGGAAACCUUUCAGCACAACAUCCCUAAAUAUGGCUCCGUGCUGGAGUUCUCUCCCCGGGGCUCCCCCUCUGACUCCCAGACGGUAUUACUGUGGAACCGGAUGGACCCUGAGACCAGCGAGGCGAGCCGGGGGAGGCUAGGGUCAAGUGGGAGGGUCUGGGUGGCAGAGAGGGUGACCCAGGCAGACCAGGGAAACUACACCCUCCGAGACGAGAAUGGGAAAGUAAUCUCCCGCAGCAAGUUGACUGUCAAUGGUGAGCACUAGAAAGAUCAAAGAGAUCUGGAUGAAGGGGAGUUUGAAAUGAAAAGGGAGAUGGAGAGAGGGAGAUGGGAUCGGAGGCUAGGAGAGAAGAGAUUGCGAUAUUAGAUCUGACAAACGGUCAAAACUGACUCAUAAUCCAAACUGACUCUUAAUUGUAUCUGAUUCUUUCAUCCUGAUGCCCCUCAUCGUCCUCAUGUCCCCUCCUUAAUUUCUCCUUUUUCUUUUCCUUUACACUCUUUCCAAUUCUCUCUCUCUCAUUAUCCCAUGUGUGGGUGCAGGGCACAACUUCAAUGUCACCCGCUUCUUCAAGGAGUCUCUAAACCUUCCCCUUUUUCUCCCUGUCCCUCAUGUCCAACUCAUUUUUACCCCAUCCCUGCACCUCUCCAACCCCUCCAACGUGCCCCUUGAGUCCCGGUACUCUCGCCCCGUGCAGCUGAUCAGGGAUGGCCAGAUUGUGGACCAGGACCCCCGGUACUGGGGCCUCCUUUCUCUGGGGAGAAACGGGACUGUCAACGAGGUGGUCAUCACCAGGCUGAGUGCAAAGCAUGAUGGGAUGUAUGAGAUCCGAGAUCAGGGCGGCAACCUGGUGUCGUCCACCAUUCUCCAUGUGGUCGGUGAGUGACUGUGUGUGUGUGAGUGAGCAGGAGCUUUCCCCUUUACAUGAUGCAGAGAUAUCUUUCUUCAACUCCCCGCUCACUCACUCUUUCUCCCUUCCUUUUUCUCUCUCCAGAUAAGACUGCUAGAUGGAGAGCAGUCCUCAAGUCCAUCAGUGUUCCUUUUGGCAUGUUUGUGACUUUGGCUGGUUUCAUCCUAUUUAUGAAGCGCUACCCUAACUGCAGCCUCACUAUGAUAAUCAACGGCCUAAGAGGUCACCAUACAACAGCAUCUAACCAUCAAAGAGUCAAUGUCCAGGUGAGGGGAUGUUCUGAAUGAGCUUGACGGAUGUAGAGUGAGAGAUGUUUGUGAGCUUGGUAGGUAGA
rnacentral:lncRNA from 1 species